UCAGAAUACCUUUCUUUUAGACAGGACCAAUUUUGGGUCAAAAGUUUUGUGGGUGGGUUGCUGCCCUCAUUUCUCCACUGGAGGUUAUGUCUGACUUGUGGAGGUGGUCUCUUCAGCUGACAUAUCCCAACUGUUGUGCAUUUCAGCUAAGGUCACCUGCUUGACUCCUGGGAGUCUACCAUCCUGGUUCUCUGGUACUUCCUAGAGAAUUCCCCCAUUCCCAACUUCUGGUAGCUGCAUAAUUCCAUGUAUUUUCCUGGCCCUCUCAGACUCUCAUUUCUCUCUCCCCAUGCCUGACCUUGCUCCCCUAUUCCCCAAACCCUCCCCUCACUCACCCAGAUCCCUCUCUCUCUCAGCCUCCCAUGACUACUUUGUUCAAGUGAGGAAGAUUGAAGCUUCCUCACUUGGGUCUAUUUUCCUGAUCAACUUCUUGGGUCUAUGGGUUGUAUCAUAGAUAUCCUGAACUUUUUGGCAAAUAACCACUAUCAGUGAGUACAUAUUAUGUACAUCU
rnacentral:lncRNA from 1 species